rnacentral:lncRNA from 1 species
AUCUGCUUGCAUUUUUCGUAUGGCAAUAACGUGGUGGGGCUGCAUGUCCCGAACUUCUUACUUUCACAUAAAACGGCCAUGAUCAGUUCGAGUUUUAUUAUCAUUAUGUUCGUAGCGGCGUCGGUUCUUUAUCUAACAAUGUUACAAGAAAAGGGAUCGUUAUGUGUCGUUAGGCUUGGAUUUCCAACGGCAAGUGCUAUAAGAAUUAUUACAAGACCGUACACAACCACACGUCGAACUAAAAGACGAAACCGUCGAGGACCAUCACCUGGGAGCAAUCCUAAGAGCUGGUGGUGGAUUGAAGCCUCGCCGGAACGCAUAAAAUUCUGGGCGCUCAAGAAAUAUUCAACAUCAUGAAUAUCCAUCGCUUCUGCAAGAUUUACAUGAACGGCAGGUAACAAUAAAUGCCAUUGAAUACGUUCUA